AACGUUUUUAAAGUCUAAUGCAGCAUCGAUUUCGUCCAUAACGUAUAAAGGAGUCGGUUUGUAAUUAUGUAGAGCAAAGACAAGGGCUAGAGAACUUAACGUCUUCUCUCCUCCCGAAAGGUUAGAUAUGUUCUUCCAAGAUUUUUUGGGAGGCAUCACACUAAACAAUACCCCCUCAGAAAACGGAUCCAAACUAUCCACUAACUCAAGCUCUGCGUUUCCGCCCAUAGUAAUAAUUUGAUACAUUUCUUUAAGCUUCAUAGAUAUAAUUCCAAAUCCGUACAUAAACUCAUCGAGCCUCUGAGAUUGAAGAUCUGUAACGACUUUUUUCAAAUCGGUUCUUUUUUGCAAUUCACUUUGGUAAUCAGAAUCACGCUUUUCUGCUUCCUUGUUACAUCUACGAUAUUCAGACAAAACAUUGAUAUCUACUUCUCUGUCUUCAGUUUUCUUUUUCAAGACUGAAAUAUUAGAGACCAGCUCGCUUUUAUCAACUGAACUCAGUUCAUCUUCAGAAUAUUCGGGAAAAGUUGAGUCCAUUGUUGUCUGGUCACAAAAUUCAGUCAAAUUGUGUAACUUCAGAUUUGACAUGAGCUUUAAAUAUUUAUUUUCAUUAUUGCCGACCUCUGAUAAUGCCGUACGCUGCUCUUGAAUUUGAUUUUCCAAUUCAAUCCUUUCUGCUUUAACGGAAUUCAUUUGCUUAGAUUCAAAUUCAAUAAAUUUUACUAGUUCGUCGAUAGAGGAAUUGAUGUCCCAUAGAGCAUUUUCAAAUUCGCGGAGCCGAGAUUUGUGUUCAUCCACAUACUUGUUUAACGAUUGUAGUUCAGUCUUUAAAGUGGCUAUACUUUCAGUAGUUGUAUCGUACUCGCUAGUAAGGUUUGAUAGUUCAACUUGGAAAGAUUGACUGCGUUGCUCAUUCUUCUUCUUCUUGAAACUCAUUUUGUUAAGCUUGUCUUUAACAAAUUUGAGUUGCUCAUGCAAAUCGUCGACCUUUGAUUUUUGUAUACGAUAUCGAAUCCCACCUAUUUCCAUGAUCUUAUCUUGUAACGUCUUAAUUUCAGUGACAAGGCCUUCAUUGUUAAUAUUUAUGGCCUCAACUUCCUUGUCCAUAUUUGAUAUUUUGUUUUGGAGAUUCCGUUUACGUUCAUUGUUGUUUCUAAUACUUUUUAAAUCGGAUUUAAGCUGCAAGAUUCGCCUCUCUUCUCCAGCUACCAAUCUAUCACAAGCAGAAACGUCAAGCUGCAGCUUUGAAAUCUCUAGUUCCGCCGAUGGAAUACGUUCCGAAAUUUCAGUAAAUCGCUGAUUAAGGCUCUCCAGCUCACUUAGGUGUUGGCGAUAUCGAGUGUCUUCUAGUUGCACUUGUUUAUCACAAGUCUCAACUGAAGCCGGCGAUACAUCACUCGUUAUAGCUGAGGACAUUCCGCCUUUCUUUACUCGAGUACCACCUCCAGUCAUUGUGCCCGAUUUAUCAAUUAACUGACCACUUAGUGUAACAACUCUCCAACGUGUUUUGCCAUACGCAAUUCUAUUAGCCUGUUCCAAAUUUUUAGCAACUAAGGUAUUCUGCAAAACGUUAUAAAACGCAGGAGCGAAUUUCUGAUCAUUAAACCGAAGUAAGUCGAAGAGCCGGGGAACAUUCUCAGGUGUUUGGAUACGAGCUAAAUUUUUCUGCGCCAGUUCUUUGAGAAUAAUAAAACUAGCACGGCCUAGGUUAUUGGAGCGCAGAAAAGCCACACAUUUCUGUCCAGUUUCAAUAUUGUCAACUACAAUAUGAUUUAAAGCAGGACAGGCAGUUGAAAUGGCCACAUCAUAAGCCUCGUCAAUUGUAGCCAAAUCACCAAGACGUCCAAAGAAACCAUUUAAAUUAUCAGAUUCAUGAAGUCUUUGAAGACUUUCUAACACAUUUCCACGAGAUCUAGAAGAACUUAAAGAAGCUUUCAUCUCCUCCAACUUUGUUCUGUUUGACAUAAGAUUUCGGUAAGUAUUGUGAACAGUUUCCUUCUUUCUUUCAAUGUUCUUACUAACAUCUUUCUUCUCUCCUUUUAGGUCGGAAAGCACUUUAAGCUUAGAAGACAGGAUAUUCCGAUUUUCUUCUGCAUCAUUACGCAGUUUAUCAAGCGAAGAUUGAGAGGACUCAACAUCGUUAAUUAGAUCAUUUUCUUUAUUUAAUAACAUAUCCAACUCAACCUGUAAAAUUUGUUUUUCUGAUGUCAAUUGGUUUAUUUUCUCGAGGGCGGGAGCCAUAGCCUUUUGCUUUUCUUCAAUAGCAUUUGAAAUACCUUCCGUUUUUCCCUGUAGACUUUUCCUAAUGUCAUCCAAACUCAAUUCUUCCUGUUGAAGUCUUAAACUGAGAUCGGCAAUUUCAGAAUUCAACUUUUGGGAAUCAAUAUCAUGAGAGCUUAAAGAAUUUUCUGCUUCUGAUUUUUCGAAUGAAAGAGCCUCAAUGGAUUUCUUUAACUUUUUUUCUUUAUUAAGUAAAAAUUUUAACUGCUCUUCAAUCUUCACAGUCUGUUGUUCAUAAGACUGGCGAGUUUUCUUCUCUGAAGUACAAUCGUUUUUUACUUUUGCUGCCUUUUCACGCAAUGAUUUAACCUCUUCAUUUUUUUCCGAAAUAUCUCGCUCGGUUUGUUCAAAUUUCUCUAAAUGUGCUUGUAAUUUUCCUUCCAAACUAUUAAGCAAGUUUUGAACUAACGUCUUUUUAUUGCGUGUUUCGUAUAGAAUAGUACGGUAAAGCUGAUUCUGUUUCAUAAACAACUCAUUUUCGUCUUUGAGAAAAGAAAGAACCGAAUUUUUGCUAUCUUCUAAUUUCGCCUUUUCAGAGAGCACCAGUUUUAAACGAGAUUCUUUCUCAGCACAGAUAUCAUCAGAAUUCGAAAGUUCUUGCAUAUUCUCUUCUAUAAUUGGCUUAUAUUUCGAGGUUCCGAUGAUAUCUUCAAGAUAUUCAAGAAGACCAUCAUCACCUUCUGAUAUAGCCCGGGGCUUCAUUUGCGCUAUUGAUUCGACUUCUCCUUGAAGAAUUAAAAAUCUCUUAUGAUUCAAGUCUAUUCCUUUCUCCUUUAAAAGAUUAGAAACUGCAGAAAAGGAACUCUCAACCCCAUUUACAAAGUAUUUACUAGUAUUAUUUUUAUAAGCAGUACGACGAACUGUUAGUUCGCUUCCAUCAACAUAAGUAAAGUCAGAGUUUACCUCUUUAAAAGUAAUUUCGACAUCACAACUAUCGAGAGAAGGAUGAGUUGCAGAUUUAUGAAUUAAGGCAGACGCUUUGGAUUGCCUAAGUUUACUAGCACGAAAACCGAAAACAAAAAGUAAAGCAUCGAUAACAUUAGAUUUCCCAGAGCCAUUUGGUCCAACAAUUGAAGAAAAAGAAGGAUGAAACGGACCCACUAUCUGAGUUCCUGCAUAUGAUUUAAAAUUUGUUAGGCGUAGCUCGUAAACAACCAGUCUAGGAGGAAGAACCUGAGUGGUUUCUUCACAAUUCUCAAUAUCCUCUGUAGUAGUAAAUUCUGACACAAGUUGUGAACUCCGUUCAUUGAAACCUGUUGAUUUAGAUGGAGUGCCAUCUUGAGCAGACAUAAAUUUGUUGAGCAAAUUAGGGCGUUCGUUUAAAGAAUCGGUAAUUCUUUUUUUUAAAAAGUCAUUGAAAAAUGGGCGAGAUGGUGUUUGCUCUAUCUUGACAAUUGAUGCGACAUCUUUCUGAGAAGGAGAUUCUAGCACUGAGCGAACCAACUUUCGUGGCCUUUCACCACGAUCUGGCGUAACAUCCACAAUCGAGGGUGUUGAAGACGUUCGAAAGAUGCCCUUGUCAGACAUAAAGAUAGUAUCUUCAACAAAUUAUAUAUUACUUAAAAUUCUAAAAGAGUGGGUGGUCGUGAAAAGAGGUGUGUUGUUUACAACGGUUGAACAGCAUUUCACCCAACGAUGAAGUCAAUUAAUGAAUAAAAUAUACAAAAACCCACAGUUAAAUUACACUAAAGCCCAUGUUUAUAAACUAAAGACUGAAGUAUAAUUGUGUAAACAGGUCAUGUUAGAUGAAAAUGAUCUAUUUAUUUUAUACCUACACACCUGAUUUAAAGGAAGACUUCAAACAUCUUUUUACCUGUAAUUAUAAACUCAUGUGUCUAUUAUACAUUAAAUUAUUAUGCUAGUCAAUUUGGUAUUCUUGGACGUUGAAAGUUAACUCAAAACGAAAAUUAAGUAAAAGAGAAUAUUGCUCUGACACUUUACACUAGCAAAAUAUUAAAAGGACGAGCAGAAUACAUUGCUGUUUCUAAGUUUUUACUAGCACAAGCAAACAUCCUCUUUCAAUUCACACAAUAAAUAUAAAGCUCAAAGAUUUUUUGUUCUGUAUUCCUUCAUUAAAUCUAGCAAGACGACGCAAAAAUUUACCUUGUUUGGGUAGCCCUAUGUGUGAA